CCAAAAUCUUAGAGACUAUGGAAAUCCAGUUCUUCCAAAUAUAGUAGCAGGUUUUGCGUGGUUAUUCCAUGCAGAAGACAGUUCCAGAGAUAGUAUUUUCAAAAAUGCAUGAAUCCAGUGCUUAGCAGAAAGGUCAUGAGGGGGUCUCCAGCACUGAACUAGUCAUUUAUUUGCCGCAGUCAAAGCUGCUAGCCAAAAUUAUUGUUCUUUUUCACUUACAGAAAAUUGAGAAUUAUCAUUAAAUAACAGGAUCUUUAGGAAAAUUAAUCUUGAUAACCUUGUAUAAAACAUCUGAUAACCACGCUCUAGCUUUAGGGAAAUUACGGUAUCUGUAUUAAGAUUUGAAAAGCAAAGAUAAUAAAUUGGCGUAUUUUGAAUCCAUUGCACUACUGGGUGAAUUUGAAUAUUAUUAACCCAAGGAACCUUUUGAAGUUUUAAUGUAGAACAAUGUUGGAAAAAUAGAAACAAAGUGUUACAGGAAAUGUUAAAUCUUGAAAAUCUAAAAUAGAUUUCUCCAUAUCAUUCAAUGUUAGAAUAUCUUUUGUAGCCCAGUUGGCUGUACAAAUGGUUGUCCACCAGAAAGCAGAUUCAGAUUGUGCCGUAGUAUUGGUGUGUCACAUAGUUUUAGAUGGAAAAGGGGGUUCAGUCUUUUUAAAUAUUUAGAGUGUGUAAGAAAAGUAUAGGUCCAUAGUGUAAUGAUUCAUACAUGUAAGGCCAGAAAAUUAAAAAUCUUGAAAUUGAACUGGUGAAAUAAGCUCUUGCUAUAUUACUUUCCACGAGGACUGUGAACAAGGAGCAAACUAUUUUUUUAACCAGGGGCAGAAUAAAGGACUUAUAUAAUUUAAAAUUUGAACAACCCCAUCUGCCUUUCAUUUGAAUUCUUUGAAGUGUAGAACACUUAAUGCGGGGACAUUUUCCAUUCCAAAUAUAUUUUAUUAGGCUAGUAAAUAAUCUAGUUUUUGCCAAUAGUUUGUAGGUGGGGGGAGAGGAAGCAUGGAACUAAUAAAAUUGAUGCAAAAUUAUAUUACUGACAUUCGGGCAUAAGGUGAUGAACAUCCAUCAUUGAAUAUCAGACUAAUUUUUGGCUUGAUGGACAACCCUGCUCUGUACCUCUAUGACUAUUAAACCUAUCUGAGAAUUUUUGUCAAAAUAUGUUUGAUGAUUUAACUGAAUUUAUAUAUUAAAAUAACUUAAAAUAAACAUAAAAAUACAGUAGUUAUGGACUAUGGGAACUAUAUUUGAAACAAAACAAAAUUGCAAUAUGCAUUUCUACUCAAAAGUGUCCACAUACAGCUGAGUUGUUAAAACAAUAAAAAUGUAAAUUUUAAAUGAAAACUACAUAGCCUAAGAUGUUAAAGUAACCGAAAUUAGUAACAUUAAGGGAUGAAAAGUAUUUAGGUACAGCUGUUUCAUAUGCCUCAAAUACUGAAGAAAACCAUAAAAAGUAUUAAGCAAUUCACGUAAAAUGCCACCAAAUUCUUCAUUCUUCAAACUGGCAUGACCUUUAUGGGACAUUAACACAUCAUUUAAGGGUAACUGCACCCUAAAAUGAAAAUGUUGUCAUUAAUCAUUAAUCAUUUCAGAAUACUCCUUCUGCCAUCAGUGGUUCAACCGUAACAUUAUAAAGCGAGGAGAACACUCUUUGUACACAACGAAAACUAAAAUAACAACUUUAUUCAACAAGCCGUGUCCUCUGUGUUACUCCACAUCACCGUGGCACCAUUUUGGAGAAUAUGAGCUGAAUGCAGCUUGUCACUUCAUACAUUUUUUUACGGGUUUGGAACAACAUGGGGUUACGGGAUUAAUGACAAUUUUCAUUUUGGGGUGUAGUAUCCCUUUAGGUUAGACCCUUCCUUUUAACAAAAGAAUAAAAACAACAGAAAAUAUUAAUAAUUGAAUCCCACAAACCUUGCACCUGUUUAUAGCGUACAUUAUUAAUCUGUCUGUGAUUGAGAAAGAGAGAGGAGAGAGUGAGAGGGGUGAUUUGAGUGAGUGUGAUUAAUAAUUUAUUAAUAUUUGUGAGUGAAUGUGUGUACACAUGUAUGUGCACAUGGUUGUGCUAACAAGGUUUUUUUUUCUGUAUGCAUUGUUGGGUUGUUGGGUUCAAAACUGUAUAAUUAGAGUGAGUGCAAGGAGUAGGCUUGGUCUGCUUCCAUUUGGUUGUGUAUUAUGCAUUAGAUAUCUUGCUCUUCUGCGAAUCAAAUCAUUGAGUGCAGCCCUUUCAACAUUUUACUUAUGUAGUGUAAUACUGUAAAAGUUGUAAUCUAAUUCCCUUUCUAAUACUGAAGUUUGUUCAGAAUAUUUAUUUUUAAGUCUAGGAGAAAAGGAAAUGGCUUUGUUCCUUAAAAAGCCUUUGAGAGAUGCCGAUAGCAUAUCAUAAUUUGACACUGGGUCAAAUAAUGAUACAAGCUAAUUUCCUCCAUUUCCACUUCCUCUCUCUCUCUUAUUAAACAACAAUAGGAGUCAGAUUUUUGUCUUACAUUUGAUGAUGAGACUUGGAACCAGAUUCUGUCCCGUGUUCAUAACUCCUCUAUUUGUGCACGUCACAGUCGUAUCCAGUUAAAAUGUAUUCAUCGAAUUUACUGGACAAAAGUGAGGUUGGCAAAAAUCAAUCCUGGUAUUGAUCCUCUCUGUGACCGUUGCCAUCAGGCCCUGGCAGACUUAAUGCAUAUGUUUUGGACAUGUUCAUAAUUAAAUUCUUUUUGGCUAUCAA